UGCGAAUUGUGCAAAUGUAAUUUAGCCUAGAUGGUUAGUAAAGUUGGAUAUUGGACUGAACGUGUCGCCGUUUGAUGAAGAGUUAAGGCCGUCGUGAUAUUGGGAGUGAGUCUGGUACUGAACCGAACUGUACGCGAUUCAGAUUUCUAUUAUAUCAGGCGCUAGUUCCUUCAGUGCACUGGUUAUCUGUCUUCCUUCACACCCCACCACAGCCCAGAAUCAAUCUCUUGGGGUACUCCGCUCUCAAUGCCCUAUUGAUCGACCCCUUUCUAUUCCUUUGUGCGUUCAGCUCACACCAUCGCAGAUGACUCUUUACGUCCAAAACUUGGAGCAGCGAAAGAUAAAGAACGAAUGGACGUCGAAUAAAAAUUCUUGUCUUCUUGUCAUGAUCAGGAAUUUGUUACGAACUUUGGUCUAUUUGCUAUUUCAAUGUCGAACUGCAGUUUCGUGUGAAAUGGUUAUUUUGUUGAGAGCCGUUCGAGGUUAGUGUUUCUGCCAACUUCUUGGUACUUAUCGCGAGUUUGAAGAAUCAGGUAAGGUGAAUAUUUCCCCUUUAAGUGGUUUGGUUGUAUGAAAAUCGAACUUGAAGGAUGUUGCGGUCUGAAUGCCUGCUUUUCCUUCUAGAUCGUGGCCUUCCUGGUUCUAUACCAACAUUUCAGGACGAGGAGUGAACCUGAAAAUUCUUCCGAAAGCUCCCACUGCGUCGGCGCGGGCGUCUGGGGUAGAUUUGGAGGGGGAAGGACGCGAUGCAAGGCGAAGUGAAGCUGUCUUACUUACAAUUUAGUCCCACAUCCGGCAGGUCGCGUCGAGUGCUUCUUGUCAAGUGUUCAGAAUGAUUAGUUUUCAUAGAAGAUCACCGAUUCUUCUGUGGUACAUAAUAUCAGUCUGUGGCUAUCUGGCGGACGUCCGAGGCCCGCGAUUUACCCUGGAGCCACCCUCACUGCUGGUGUUCUCCAACUCCAGUGGCGGAAGGGCAGAUUGCGCUGCCGAGGGCU